CAACAAGAGACUUCAUUGUUGUGAAUGAAGAGAAAAAGCCAAUGCUUCUUACUCUUUGGAAUGAGUUCGAACAAAAUCAGGGAACACAGUUUGCAAAUAGCAUUGGGAAUGCCAACGUUAUCAUUGGCAUGAAACUGAAAAUCACAACUUUUAAUUACUUAUCCCUGACAACCAAGCCUGGGAGUGGCCUUCUGAUUAAUCCUCCCACAUCUGAAGCAAAUGCACUCAAAG